UGGUGGGCGGCCUUACCAUGCAAGUCGAGCGGUAGAGAGGUGCUUGCACCUCUUGAGAGCGGCGGACGGGUGAGUAAUACCUAGGAAUCUGCCUGGUAGUGGGGGAUAACGUUCGGAAACGGACGCUAAUACCGCAUACGUCCUACGGGAGAAAGCAGGGGACCUUCGGGCCUUGCGCUAUCAGAUGAGCCUAGGUCGGAUUAGCUAGUUGGUGAGGUAAUGGCUCACCAAGGCUACGAUCCGGUAACUGGUCUGAGAGGGAAUUGAUUACGAGGUUGCAGCACCCUGGAACAUGAGGAACACGGUUCCAGACUUCCUAACGGGAGGCCAGGCAGUGGGGAAAUAUUGGGACCAAUGGCGCGAAAGCCUUGAUUCCAGCCAUGGCCCGCCGUGUGUGAAGGAAGGUUCUUCCGGAAUUGUAAAGGCACUUUAAGUUUGGGAAGGAAAGGGCAUUUAACCUAAAUACGUUAGUGUUCUUGACGUUACCGACAGAAUAAGCACCCGGCUUAACUCUGUGCCAGCAGCCGCGGUAAUACAGAGGGUGCAAGCGUUAAUCGGAAUUACUGGGCGUAAAGCGCGCGUAGGUGGUUUGUUAAGUUGAAUGUGAAAUCCCCGGGCUCAACCUGGGAACUGCAUCCAAAACUGGCAAGCUAGAGUAUGGUAGAGGGUAGUGGAAUUUCCUGUGUAGCGGUGAAAUGCGUAGAUAUAGGAAGGAACACCAGUGGCGAAGGCGACUACCUGGACUGAUACUGACACUGAGGUGCGAAAGCGUGGGGGAGCAAACAGGAUUUAGAUACCCUGGUAGUCCACGCCCGUAAACGAUCGUCAACUAGCCCGUUGGGGAACCUUGAGUUCUUAGUGGCGCAGCUAAUCGCAUUAAGUUGACCGCCUGGGGAGUACGGCCGCAAGGUUAAAACUCAAAUGAAUUGACGGGGGCCCGCACAAGCCGGUGGAGCAUGUGGUUUAAUUCGAAGCAACGCGAAGAACCUUACCAGGCCUUGACAUCCAAUGAACUUUCCAGAGAUGGAUUGGUGCCUUCGGGAACAUUGAGACAGGUGCUGCAUGGCUGUCGUCAGCUCGUGUCGUGAGAUGUUGGGUUAAGUCCCGUAACGAGCGCAACCCUUGUCCUUAGUUACCAGCACGUAAUGGUGGGCACUCUAAGGAGACUGCCGGUGACAAACCGGAGGAAGGUGGGGAUGACGUCAAGUCAUCAUGGCCCUUACGGCCUGGGCUACACACGUGCUACAAUGGUCGGUACAAAGGGUUGCCAAGCCGCGAGGUGGAGCUAAUCCCAUAAAACCGAUCGUAGUCCGGAUCGCAGUCUGCAACUCGACUGCGUGAAGUCGGAAUCGCUAGUAAUCGUGAAUCAGAAUGUCACGGUGAAUACGUUCCCGGGCCUUGUACACACCGCCCGUCACACCAUGGGAGUGGGUUGCACCAGAAGUAGCUAGUCUAACCCUCGGGAGGACGGUUACCACGGGUGAUCCCU
rnacentral:rRNA from 1 species